UUGCAAAUGAUGAGUUACUCGGAUUCCCCUUCAAGACAUCUUGGAUGAUGCAGACCGAGAUUCUGAUGCA
rfam:Vigna angularis cultivar Jingnong 6 chromosome 4, whole genome shotgun sequence.